ACCGUUCGGAGGUAACGAGUGGGCCCUCGAAGGAAGAAGGCGGGGGGACUCAGCCGAGAGCCCCGGCCCCGCCCCCGUCCCAGUUUCCCGCGAGGGACGGGACGCGGGGUGCGUGCGCCGCGGCCCUCGGCGCAUUUCCUCUCGUCCUCCGACGCUGCGACCGAUCGCGCGCGCCAAGAGCAGUCGGCCUUACUCGCGGGGGAACGCGGGUGGCCGGGGAAGAGCGCUCGCUCCCUCCCGGUGUCUGGCACCCCCGCAGUCGCGGCCGUUCGCGCGAUCGAAGGACCCGGCCCCUCGGGGCCCUCGCCUUUCCCUCCGCUCCCAAAAGAGGCGGAGCGCUUCCCUCUCCCGGAAGGGAUUGCCGGCGUCACGGGACGGUCGACCGUAAGGUGUCCGUCCCGCGUCGGCGCCCGCUCGCCGUCGGARAGUCGCGUUUCAGGGGAGAUGGCGGUCCGCAGCGAGUAGGUCGGUCACCCACUCGACCCGUCUUGAAACACGGACCAAGGAGUUUAACACGUGCGCGAGUCGUCGGGUCUUGGACAGGCCAGAGGGCGCAAUGAAAGUGAAGGGCGGCUCCCGCCGUCCGCGUAGGGAUCGGGGGUCGUUACGGCCUCCGCGCACCUACGGCUCGUCCGGGCCGCCUCGUCGGCCGGGCGAAGCAGGAGCGCACGCGUUGAGACCCGAAAGAUGGUGAACUAUGGCUGGGCAGGACGAAGCCAGAGGAAACUCUGGUGGAGGUCCGCAGCGGUUCUGACGUGCAAAUCGAUCGUCAGACCUGGCUAUAGGGGCGAAAGACUAAUCGAACCAUCUAGUAG
rnacentral:rRNA from 1 species